rnacentral:lncRNA from 1 species
AAUCCAUCAACCAUCUCCAAUUUAUUCUUUACACUUAGGAUUAUGACCAAGUUCACGUACUUAAAAGGGAGAAACCACAGAGACAUCACACUGAAAGUUUCUCUGCUUUGGGCCAGCAGGAAAUUCCAGUUGCUUCAUUCACCGGAGCCAGUUAAGCUGCUGAAAUGAAAUGGAUCACCGGAGAGAUCACUAUAUCAGGACAUAGACUUGACUUUCAGGGUUGGAGGAAGCCGGACAAAGAUGAAUGGGAUUCAGAGCCUGAACUCAAGGUCAACGUCUUCUGAAUCACAAAGAGCUGGUGGGUCAGUCUGGGAGAAGAAAGAAAAUUCUGCGCCAAAUGGGAAAACCCUUAAAGUCUGCAUAGUUUUGCUUGUCGGGUUGUUAUGAGGCUCAAAGGAACGGCUGCUGUGAAAAAACAUGCUUUGCAAUUUAUGAAGCACUGGAUAAACAUCAGGAACGGUAUAAAAGCAUGCUGCUUACUCAAGAAAUACUAGUUGAGUGCCUGUGUGUUGGGCACUGGCUAGAGAUAAGGGUCUCCUAUGGACAGAAGUGCGGGCAAGGAGCUUUGUUCCUCCCCGAUGUCACCCUCCCACAGCCCACUUGCUAGCAGGCAAGAGAGGGGUGGAGGCCGGCAGUAAGGCAUGUACUGAACUGGACCUCUGGUGGAAUGGGUCACCCACGCUGGGCUUGACUCUUACCAUCAGGGUCCUGCCAACCCUUCAGUGAGACUUUUUCCGAAGAAUCCCUUUUAAAAUGACCUCAAGCUGACCUUCCUGAUGCAGAUUCCACAUAUGGUAUCUGAGACUCACACAGUGUGGUUGGAAGAUAGCACAGUGACCUCCCAGGCACAGCCCUCUGCCAGCCCUCCACUGGCUGCCCUAGGAUGCUGGCCUUCCUCCGAUGGGAGUCGGGCCCAGUCUGCUGUGAGCCAGGAGAAGCCAGCAAGCUCCCUGCGAGGCCUGGAGGAGCCCUUCUCACUCAGCUUGGUGUUCGAUGCCAGUGCCCCCGCCCAUUGUGGGGUGAGGGUGGGACUCUCAGCACAGCCCUGUCCAAAUAAAUCCUCUAAAGCCCUCUUCCAUCUGCAGUCACUUGAGUCUUUUGUAGCCUGUGUGAUUGAGCAUCUAAGCAGUCCUCAGCUAUUUACUUUGAAAUUUCGUAAGUGAUUUUGGUAUCUGUCAUUUCUUGAUGCAUCAGUCACAACUCCCCAUCUAACAUCCCAUUAAAUAAUAUAUAAAACAGAACAAAAACAUUGUGCCAACUUCUUCUAAGAAGAAUUUAAUGUCACUUCCUAAGUUAAGCAGUUGGGCCCUGUCCCAUGACUGUUCAUCUCUGCUCAAUAGUCAUCAAGAGCUGAGAAAGAAGAAAGGAGCCCUGGGGGCCU